rnacentral:rRNA from 1 species
UGGGGAAUAUUGCACAAUGGGCGCAAGCCUGAUGCAGCCAUGCCGCGUGUGUGAAGAAGGCCUUCGGGUUGUAAAGCACUUUCAGCGGGGAGGAAGGCGAUAAGGUUAAUAACCUCAUCGAUUGACGUUACCCGCAGAAGAAGCACCGGCUAACUCCGUGCCAGCAGCCGCGGUAAUACGGAGGGUGCAAGCGUUAAUCGGAAUUACUGGGCGUAAAGCGCACGCAGGCGGUCUGUCAAGUCGGAUGUGAAAUCCCCGGGCUCAACCUGGGAACUGCAUUCGAAACUGGCAGGCUAGAGUCUUGUAGAGGGGGGUAGAAUUCCAGGUGUAGCGGUGAAAUGCGUAGAGAUCUGGAGGAAUACCGGUGGCGAAGGCGACCCCCUGGACAAAGACUGACGCUCAGGUGCGAAAGCGUGGGGAGCAAACAGG